AACGCGAAGAACCUUACCCGGGUUUGAACGGAGGAGGACGGUCUGGGAAACCAGGCUUCUGGCAACAGUCUCCUUCGAGGUGCUGCAUGGUUGUCGUCAGCUCGUGCCGUGAGGUGUCGGCUUAAGUGCCAUAACGAGCGCAACCCUUGCCGCCAGUUGCUAGCAGGUAAAGCUGAGGACUCUGGCGGGACUGCCAGCGUAAGCUGCGAGGAAGGCGGGGAUGACGUCAAAUCAGCACGGCCCUUACAUCCGGGGCGACACACGUGUUACAAUGGCGUGGACAGCGGGAAGCCACCUGGCGACAGGGAGCGGAACCCGAAACCACGUCUCAGUUCGGAUCGGAGUCUGCAACCCGACUCCGUGAAGCUGGAUUCGCUAGUAAUCGCGCAUCAGCCAUGGCGCGGUGAAUACGUUCCCGGGUCUUGUACACACGC
rnacentral:rRNA from 1 species